AUGGCUCAUUAAAUCAGUCAUAAUUUAUUUGAUAGUACCUUUACCUGGAUAACCGUGGUAAUUCUAGAGCUAAUACAUGCUAAAAACCUCAACUUCGGAAGGGGUGUAUUUAUUAGAUAAAAAACCAAUGCCCUUCGGGGCUCCUUGGUGAUUCAUAAUAACUUAACGAAUCGCAUGGCCUUGCGCCGGCGAUGGUUCAUUCAAAUUUCUGCCCUAUCAACUUUCGAUGGUACAGUAGUGGUCUACCAUGGUUUUAACGGGUAACGGGGAAUUAGGGUUCUAUUCCGGAGAGGGAGCCUGAGAAACGGCUACCACAUCCAAGGAAGGCAGCAGGCGCGCAAAUUACCCAAUCCCAAUUCGGGGAGGUAGUGACAAUAAAUACUGAUACAGGGCUCUUUCGGGUCUUGUAAUUGGAAUGAGAACAAUUUAAAUCCCUUAACGAGGAACAAUUGGAGGGCAAGUCUGGUGCCAGCAGCCGCGGUAAUUCCAGCUCCAAUAGCGUAUAUUAAAGUUGUUGCAGUUAAAAAGCUCGUAGUUGAACCUUGGGCCUGACCGAUCUGUCCUCCUAAUCGAGCGCACGGAUUCGGUUGGGUCUUUCCUUCUGGGGAGCCCUAUGCCCUUCACUGGGCGUAGUGGGGAACCAGGACUUUUACCUUGAAAAAAUUAGAGUGUUCAAAGCAGGCAUUUGCUCGAAUACAUUAGCAUGGAAUAAUAGAAUAGGACAUCGGUUCUAUUUUGUUGGUUUCUAGGACCGCUGUAAUGAUUAAUAGGGAUAGUCGGGGGCGUCAGUAUUCAAUUGUCAGAGGUGAAAUUCUUGGAUUUAUUGAAGACUAACUAUUGCGAAAGCAUUCGCCAAGGAUGUUUUCAUUAAUCAGUGAACGAAAGUUAGGGGAUCGAAGACGAUCAGAUACCGUCGUAGUCUUAACCAUAAACUAUGCCGACUAGGGAUCGGACGGUGGUUUUUAUGCCCCGUUCGGCACCUUACGAGAAAUCAAAGUUUUUGGGCUCUGGGGGGAGUAUGGUCGCAAGGCUGAAACUUAAAGAAAUUGACGGAAGGGCACCACAAGGCGUGGAGCCUGCGGCUUAAUUUGACUCAACACGGGGAAACUCACCAGGUCCAGACAUGUUUAGGAUUGACAGAUUGAUAGCUCUUUCUUGAUUAUAUGGGUGGUGGUGCAUGGCCGUUCUUAGUUGGUGGAGUGAUUUGUCUGCUUAAUUGCGAUAACGAACGAGACCUUGACCUGCUAAAUAGCUAGAUUGACUUUUGUUGGUCGCCAGCUUCUUAGAGGGACUUUUGGCUCAAGCCAAUGGAAGUACGAGGCAAUAACAGGUCUGUGAUGCCCUGGAACCAUUCUAGGGGCUUUCACGAGUUGCCGGGUAACCGCAGCGACACUACUACUCUGCCGGGAAGUUUUUUCGAGAACCACCCGUAGCCUUGUAACUAAGGUACAGAGACUAAAUGGUGGUGGGCACUACUAGUGUUUCUAAUAUAGUCCAGUUAUCUCUGAAUGAGAUCAAUUAUGCGUAGAUGUUCUGGGCCGCACGCGCGCUACACUGACAGAGCCAGCGAGUACAUCACCUUGGCCGAAAGGUUUGGGUAAUCUUGUUAAACUCUGUCGUGCUGGGGAUAGAGCAUUGCAAUUAUUGCUCUUCAACGAGGAAUGCCUAGUAAGCGCAAGUCAUCAGCUUGCGUUGAUUACGUCCCUGCCCUUUGUACACACCGCCCGUCGCUACUACCGAUUGAAUGGCUCAGUGAGGCCUUGGGACUGGCUCAGGAAGGUCGGCAA
rnacentral:rRNA from 1 species